rnacentral:antisense_RNA from 1 species
CUUCAGAGAGCCGAGCAACAGGGGCUGUCCGGCGGGCCGGUCCUGGCCGUACGUGUCGAUCAGCGCCUGCGCCUC